rnacentral:rRNA from 1 species
ACGGCAUGAUGAUAGCCUGCAUGCCUAGUAUAAUGUUAUACAGUGAAACUGCGAAUGGCUCAUUAAAACAGUUAUAGUUUAUUUGAUAAUCAAAUUCUACAUGGAUAACCGUGGUAAUUCUAGAGCUAAUACAUGCUGGUUAGCCCGACUUCUCGGAAGGGCUGUAUUUAUUAAAUAACAAACCAAUAUUCCUCGUGUCUAUUGUGAUGACUCAUAAUAACUGAUCGAAUCGCAUGGGCCUUGCCCGCGAUACCUCAUUCAAGUUUCUGCCCCAUCAGCUUUCGAUGGUAGUGUAUUGGACUACCAUGGCUUUAACGGGUAACGGAGGAUUAGGGUUCAAUUCCGGAAAGGGACCCUGAAAAACGGCAACCACAUCUAAGGAAGGCACCGGGUGCGAAAAUCACCCAUCCUGACUCAGGGAGGUAGUGACAAAAAAACAGACCGAGGCUUCACGCUUUUUGGAUUCUGCGCCAGAAUUUAAACCCCUUCACAAGGAACAA